AUUGAACGCUGGCGGCAGGCCUAACACAUGCAAGUCGAACGAGUGGCGGACGGGUGAGUAAUGUCUGGGAAACUGCCUGAUGGAGGGGGAUAACUACUGGAAACGGUAGCUAAUACCGCAUACCAUCAGAUGUGCCCAGAUGGGAUGAGCUUGGUGGUGGGGUAACGGAUCAACAAGGAGACGAUCCCUAGCUGGUCUGAGAGGAUGACCAGCCACACUGGAACUGAGACCCGGUCCAGACUCCUACGGGAGGCAGCAGUGGGGAAGAUUGCACAAGGGGCGCAAGCCUGCUGCAGCCAUGCCGCGUGGAUGAAGAAGGCCUUCGGGUUGUAAAGUACUUUCAGCGGGGAGGCGUUACCCGCAGAAGAAGCACCGGCUAACUCCGUGCCAGCAGCCGCGGUAAUAC
rnacentral:rRNA from 1 species